UUGGGAAUAUUGGACAAUGGGGGGAACCCUGAUCCAGCCAUGCCGCGUGUGUGAAGAAGGCCUUAUGGUUGUAAAGCACUUUAAGCGAGGAGGAGGGUACUGGUAUUAAUACUACCAGGUACUGGACGUUACUCGCAGAAUAAGCACCGGCUAACUCUGUGCCGGCAGCCGCGGUAUUACAGAGGGUGCGAGCGUUAAUCGGAUUUACUGGGCGUAAAGCGUGCGUAGGCGGCUAAUUGAGUCGGAUGUGAAAUCCCCGAGCUUAACUUGGGAAUUGCAUUCGAUACUGGUUAGCUAGAGUGUGGGAGAGGAUGGUAGAAUUCCAGGUGUAGCGGUGAAAUGCGUAGAGAUCUGGAGGAAUACCGUUGGCGAAGGCAGCCAUCUGGCCUAACACUGACGCUGAGGUACGAAAGCAUGGGGAGCAAACAGG
rnacentral:rRNA from 1 species